rnacentral:tRNA from 1 species
GGAUGUAGCUCAGUGGUAGAGUGCUUGCCUAGCAUGCAAGUUGCGAAAGGCCCUCAGUUCAAUCCACAGUGCCA